UGGGGAAUAUUGGGCAAUGGGCGAAAGCCUGACCCAGCAACGCCGCGUGAAGGAAGAAGGCCUUCGGGUUGUAAACUUCUUUGACGAGGGACGAAGGAAGUGACGGUACCUCGAAAACAAGCCACGGCUAACUACGUGCC
rnacentral:rRNA from 1 species